rnacentral:rRNA from 1 species
AGUGAACGCUGGCGGCGUGCUUAACACAUGCAAGUCGAACGGUAACGCAAAGUGCUUGCACUUUGGCGACGAGUGGCGCACGGGUGAGUAAUAUAUAGUUAAUGUACCUUCAAGACUGGGAUAGCCACUGGAAACGGUGAUUAAUACUAGAUACACCUUCAUAUCACAAGGUAUGAAGGGAAAUGUUUUUUCGCUUGAAGAUCAGACUAUAUCCUAUCAGUUAGUUGGUGAGGUAAGAGCUCACCAAGACGAUGACGGGUAGCGGGUUUGGGUGGAUGAUCCGCCGCACUGGUACUGAGACACGGACCAGACUCCUACGGGAGGCAGCAGUGAGGAAUAUUGCACAAUGGAGGAAACUCUGAUGCAGCAACGCCGCGUGGAGGAUGACGCAUUUCGGUGUGUAAACUCCUUUUAUGAGUCAAGAAAAUGACGGUAGCUCAUGAAUAAGCACCGGCUAACUCCGUGCCAGCAGCCGCGGUAAUACGGAGGGUGCAAGCGUUACUCGGAAUCACUGGGCGUAAAGGACGCGUAGGCGGGAUGUCAAGUCAGGUGUGAAAUCCUAUGGCUCAACCAUAGAACUGCACUUGAAACUGGCAACCUAGAGUAUGGGAGGGGGAGAUGGAAUUAGUGGUGUAGGGGUAAAAUCCGUAGAUAUCACUAGGAAUACCUAAAGCGAAGGCGAUCUCCUGGAACAUAACUGACGCUAAGGCGUGAAAGCGUGGGGAGCAAACA